GAUGAACGCUGGCGGCGUGCCUAAUACAUGCAAGUCGAGCGAACGGACGAGAAUCUUGCUUCUCUGAUGUUAGCGGCGGACGGGUGAGUAACACGUGGAUAACCUACCUAUAAGACUGGGAUAACUUCGGGAAACCGUAGCUAAUACCGGAUAAUAUUUUGAACCGCAUGGUUCAAAAGUGAAAGACGGUCUUGCUGUCACUUAUAGAUGGAUCCGCGCUGCAUUAGCUAGUUGGUAAGGUAACGGCUUACCAAGGCAACGAUGCAUAGCCGACCUGAGAGGGUGAUCGGCCACACUGGAACUGAGACACGGUCCAGACUCCUACGGGAGGCAGCAGUAGGGAAUCUUCCGCAAUGGGCGAAAGCCUGACGGAGCAACGCCGCGUGAGUGAUGAAGGUCUUCGGAUCGUAAAACUCUGUUAUUAGGGAAGAACAAAUGUGUAAGUAACUGUGCACGUCUUGACGGUACCUAAUCAGAAAGCCACGGCUAACUACGUG
rnacentral:rRNA from 1 species